rnacentral:rRNA from 1 species
UACAGAGGUCCCAAGCGUUGUUCGGAUUCACUGGGCGUAAAGGGUGCGUAGGCGGUCGGGUAAGUCUGAUGUGAAAUCUCACAGCUUAACUGUGAAACUGCAUUGGAUACUAUUCGGCUUGAGAGUUGGAGGGGGGACUGGAAUUCCUGGUGUAGCAGUGAAAUGCGUAGAUAUCAAGAGGAACACCAGUGGCGAAGGCGAGUCCCUGGACAACUUCUGACGCUGAGGCACGAAAGCUAGGGGAGCAAACAGG